rnacentral:lncRNA from 1 species
CUCUUCCUCUCUUCCUCCUCCUUCUUUUUCUUCCUCCUCCUCCUCCUCCUCCCCCUCCUCCUCCUCUUUUUCCUAACAUAGUUAAAGAAAGUGGAGCUAGGGAAAGGACUCAUGGGUAAAUCACUGACUACACAAAUGAGAGCCCAUGACUUUGCAUCCCCAGAACCCACAGACACUAUUGUUUAUCUUUAAUCCCAGUUCUCCUACAGCAAGACGGGAGAUGACAACCAGAUUAUCUCUGGAAGCUCGAAAGCCUGGCAUACUCAGGGGCAAACAGAACUCAAGUAAGGUAAUAAGACCCGUACCAACCCCCCCAAAUGUCCUUAAGCCAAAAAGGAAGAGCUAUGUGAUGCUGACGUAA